UUAAGCGACUAAGCGUACACGGUGGAUGCCCUGGCAGUCAGAGGCGAUGAAGGACGUGCUAAUCUGCGAAAAGCGUCGGUAAGGUGAUAUGAACCGUUAUAACCGGCGAUGUCCGAAUGGGGAAACCCAGUGCAAUUCGUUGCACUAUCGUUAACUGAAUACAUAGGUUAACGAGGCGAACCGGGGGAACUGAAACAUCUAAGUACCCCGAGGAAAAGAAAUCAACCGAGAUUCCCCCAGUAGCGGCGAGCGAACGGGGAGCAGCCCAGAGUCUGAAUCAGCUUGUGUGUUAGUGGAACGGUCUGGAAAGUCCGACGGUACAGGGUGAUAGUCCCGUACACCAAAAUGCACAGGUUGUGAACUCGAAGAGUAGGGCGGGACACGUGGUAUCCUGUCUGAAUAUGGGGGGACCAUCCUCCAAGGCUAAAUACUCCUGACUGACCGAUAGUGAACCAGUACCGUGAGGGAAAGGCGAAAAGAACCCCGGCGAGGGGAGUGAAAAAGAACCUGAAACCGUGUACGUACAAGCAGUGGGAGCACCUUCGGGUGUGACUGCGUACCUUUUGUAUAAUGGGUCAGCGACUUAUAUUCUGUAGCAAGGUUAACCGUAUAGGGGAGCCGCAGGGAAACCGAGUCUUAACUGGGCGUUAAGUUGCAGGGUAUAGACCCGAAACCCGGUGAUCUAGCCAUGGGCAGGUUGAAGGUUGGGUAACACUAACUGGAGGACCGAACCGACUAAUGUUGAAAAAUUAGCGGAUGACUUGUGGCUGGGGGUGAAAGGCCAAUCAAACCGGGAGAUAGCUGGUUCUCCCCGAAAGCUAUUUAGGUAGCGCCUCGUGAAUUCAUCUUCGGGGGUAGAGCACUGUUUCGGCUAGGGGGUCAUCCCGACUUACCAACCCGAUGCAAACUACGAAUACCGAAGAAUGUUAUCACGGGAGACACACGGCGGGUGCUAACGUCCGUCGUGAAGAGGGAAACAACCCAGACCGCCAGCUAAGGUCCCAAAGUCAUGGUUAAGUGGGAAACGAUGUGGGAAGGCACAGACAGCCAGGAUGUUGGCUUAGAAGCAGCCAUCAUUUAAAGAAAGCGUAAUAGCUCACUGGUCGAGUCGGCCUGCGCGGAAGAUGUAACGGGGCUAAACCAUGCACCGAAGCUGCGGCAGCGACACUAUGUGUUGUUGGGUAGGGGAGCGUUCUGUAAGCCUGCGAAGGUGACCUGUGAGGGUUGCUGGAGGUAUCAGAAGUGCGAAUGCUGACAUAAGUAACGAUAAAGCGGGUGAAAAGCCCGCUCGCCGGAAGACCAAGGGUUCCUGUCCAACGUUAAUCGGGGCAGGGUGAGUCGACCCCUAAGGCGAGGCCGAAAGGCGUAGUCGAUGGGAAACAGGUUAAUAUUCCUGUACUUGGUGUUACUGCGAAGGGGGGACGGAGAAGGCUAUGUUAGCCGGGCGACGGUUGUCCCGGUUUAAGCAUGUAGGCUGGUUAUCCAGGCAAAUCCGGAUAAUCAAGGCUGAGGUGUGAUGACGAGGCACUACGGUGCUGAAGUAACAAAUGCCCUGCUUCCAGGAAAAGCCUCUAAGCAUCAGGUAACAUUAAAUCGUACCCCAAACCGACACAGGUGGUCAGGUAGAGAAUACCAAGGCGCUUGAGAGAACUCGGGUGAAGGAACUAGGCAAAAUGGUGCCGUAACUUCGGGAGAAGGCACGCUGGUGUGUAGGUGAAGUCCCUGCGGAUGGAGCUGAGACCAGUCGAAGAUACCAGCUGGCUGCAACUGUUUAUUAAAAACACAGCACUGUGCAAACACGAAAGUGGACGUAUACGGUGUGACGCCUGCCCGGUGCCGGAAGGUUAAUUGAUGGGGUUAUCCGUAAGGAGAAGCUCUUGAUCGAAGCCCCGGUAAACGGCGGCCGUAACUAUAACGGUCCUAAGGUAGCGAAAUUCCUUGUCGGGUAAGUUCCGACCUGCACGAAUGGCGUAAUGAUGGCCAGGCUGUCUCCACCCGAGACUCAGUGAAAUUGAACUCGCUGUGAAGAUGCAGUGUACCCGCGGCAAGACGGAAAGACCCCGUGAACCUUUACUAUAGCUUGACACUGAACAUUGAGCCUUGAUGUGUAGGAUAGGUGGGAGGCUUUGAAGCGUGGACGCCAGUCUGCGUGGAGCCAACCUUGAAAUACCACCCUUUAAUGUUUGAUGUUCUAACGUUGGCCCCUGACCGGGGUUGCGGACAGUGUCUGGUGGGUAGUUUGACUGGGGCGGUCUCCUCCCAAAGCGUAACGGAGGAGCACGAAGGUUAGCUAAUCCUGGUCGGACAUCAGGAGGUUAGUGCAAUGGCAUAAGCUAGCUUGACUGCGAGCGUGACGGCGCGAGCAGGUGCGAAAGCAGGUCAUAGUGAUCCGGUGGUUCUGAAUGGAAGGGCCAUCGCUCAACGGAUAAAAGGUACUCCGGGGAUAACAGGCUGAUACCGCCCAAGAGUUCAUAUCGACGGCGGUGUUUGGCACCUCGAUGUCGGCUCAUCACAUCCUGGGGCUGAAGUAGGUCCCAAGGGUAUGGCUGUUCGCCAUUUAAAGUGGUACGCGAGCUGGGUUUAGAACGUCGUGAGACAGUUCGGUCCCUAUCUGCCGUGGGCGCUGGAGAAUUGAGGGGGGCUGCUCCUAGUACGAGAGGACCGGAGUGGACGCAUCACUGGUGUUCGGGUUGUCAUGCCAAUGGCACUGCCCGGUAGCUAAAUGCGGAAGAGAUAAGUGCUGAAAGCAUCUAAGCACGAAACUUGCCCCGAGAUGAGUUCUCCCUGAGACUUUAAGUCUCCUGAAGGAACGUUAAAGACGAUGACGUUGAUAGGCCGGGUGUGUAAGCGCAGCGAUGCGUUGAGCUAACCGGUACUAAUGAACCGUGAGGCUUAACCUU
rnacentral:rRNA from 1 species